UACGUAGGUGGCAAGCGUUGUCCGGAAUUAUUGGGCGUAAAGCGCGCGCAGGCGGCCUCUUAAGUCUGAUGUGAAAGCCCCCGGCUCAACCGGGGAGGGCCAUUGGAAACUGGGAGGCUUGAGUAUAGGAGAGAAGAGUGGAAUUCCACGUGUAGCGGUGAAAUGCGUAGAGAUGUGGAGGAACACCAGUGGCGAAGGCGACUCUUU
rnacentral:rRNA from 1 species